GCUCCCGUAGUCUAGAGGCCAAGGAUGCAGCCCUUUCACGGCUGUGACCCGGGUUCGAAUCCCGGCGGGAGCA
rnacentral:tRNA from 1 species